rnacentral:rRNA from 1 species
UACGUAGGGACCGAGCGUUGUCCGGAAUCAUUGGGCGUAAAGAGCGUGUAGGCGGCCACUUAAGUCCUGCGUGAAAUCUUGCGGCUCAACCGCAAGCGGUCGUGGGAAACUGGGUGGCUAGAGUGCGGGAGAGGAGAGUGGAAUUCCUGGUGUAGCGGUGAAAUGCGUAGAUAUCAGGAGGAAUACCGGUGGUGUAGACGGCUCUCUGGACCGCGACUGACGCUGAGACACGAAAGCGUGGUAGCAAACAGG